rnacentral:ncRNA from 18 species
GUGAACCUGCGGAAGGAUC